AAUAUACGUCGCUUUGGGCUUUCAGUGGGCUUCUGCCGUUAAACCCCCACUUUUUUAAGGUUGACCUCGGAUCAGGUAGGAAUACCCGCUGAACUUAAGCAUAUCAAUAAGCGGAGGAAAAGAAACCAACAGGGAUUGCCCUAGUAACGGCGAGUGAAGCGGCAACAGCUCAAAUUUGAAAUCUGGCUCACGCCCGAAUUGUAAUUUGUAGAGGAUGCUUUUGGCGCGGUGCCUUCUGAGUUCCCUGGAAUGGGACGCCAUAGAGGGUGAGAGCCCCGUAUAGUUGAACACCAAGCCUUUGUAAAGCUCCUUCGACGAGUCGAGUAGUUUGGGAAUGCUGCUCAAAAUGGGAGGUAAAUUUCUUCUAAAGCUAAAUACCGGCCAGAGACCGAUAGCGCACAAGUAGAGUGAUCGAAAGAUGAAAAGCACUUUGAAAAGAGGGUGAAAUAGCACGUGAAAUUGCUGAAAGGGAAGCGCUUGUGACCAGACUUGCACUUUGUGGAUCACCUAACGUUUUCGUUGGGGUAUUCUGCUUGGUACAGGCCAGCAUCGGUUUUGUGAGGGGGAUAAAAGCCCUGGGAACGUAGCUCUUCGGAGUGUUAUAGCCCUAGGUAUAAUACCCUUCAUGGGACCGAGGUUCGCGCUU
rnacentral:rRNA from 1 species